AUUGAACGCUGGCGGCAGGCCUAACACAUGCAAGUCGAACGGUAACAGGAAGAAGCUUGCUUCUUUGCUGACGAGUGGCAGACGGGUGAGUAAUGUCUGGGAAACUGCCUGAUGGAGGGGGAUAACUACUGGAAACGGUAGCUAAUACCGCAUAACGUCGCAAGACCAAAGAGGGGGACCUUCGGGCCUCUUGCCAUCGGAUGUGCCCAGAUGGGAUUAGCUAGUAGGUGGGGUAACGGCUCACCUAGGCGACGAUCCCUAGCUGGUCUGAGAGGAUGACCAGCCACACUGGAACUGAGACACGGUCCAGACUCCUACGGGAGGCAGCAGUGGGGAAUAUUGCACAAUGGGCGCAAGCCUGAUGCAGCCAUGCCGCGUGUAUGAAGAAGGCCUUCGGGUUGUAAAGUACUUUCAGCGGGGAGGAAGGGAGUAAAGUUAAUACCUUUACUCAUUGACGUUACCCGCAGAAGAAGCACCGGCUAACUCCGUG
rnacentral:rRNA from 1 species